AUUCAAUUAUUGAUCUCCAGCUUACCUAUUGUAUUUAUUUUCUCAAUUCAUCACCCAGAAUUCAAUAUCUCGGCUUAUAACUCUCACAAUCUUGCACUCUAGACUAACUUCUUAGUAUUCAGAAACUAUCCAUUACUCGUCAACAAUAAAGAAACAAAAAGAGGUAGCACCAAGCUUUCCUCGGCUUACGACUAUCAGAGUGUGGCCCCGAUCUCCCUAUCCUCAACCUCUUUAUCCUACCAAAAGAUGGACCGUUGGCCAGCAGAUUUCAAAGAUUAUGACCUUUUGAAUUCUUAACCAUUUAUUCCACU
rnacentral:lncRNA from 1 species